rnacentral:lncRNA from 1 species
CAGAUCCAUCCUUCAUUACCCAUAGAGGUUUUCAAAACUUCAUGUUUGGAUAAUCAGAGGUCCUUUAUAAAAACUGAAAAGUCACAAAACCAGGAAGACCCUACAAAUAUCUACACCAAAGAGGAAAAUAUAUCAGUGCAAACAGAAUAUUCAAUCAGCACCUCUUGCAUUCUUGCCCAAUCUCCAGAUGACCCCACAAGGAUCAGCUUGGGUUCCUCUGAUGAUAAAUUAGAGUCUGACUGGUGUGAGAUGAGAUCGAGCAUUGAAAAACUUUCUCAUUUAGCAAUAGCAACAACUAUGCCAAUAGAACCAUAUACAGAAUUGGAGAACACACAGAUAAAUAUGAGCAAUACUUUGGAGAGCUGCCAAAUUAAUGAAAAGAAGGAACAAAUGCUCAUGGGUUUUUCUACACAGACUUCAGAGAUGGAGAGCUCCAGUAUUAUUAAUUUUGAUGGAGAAUGUAACACAUCAGUGAUUAAAGAGAUAGAAGAAAUUCACAAAAGCCUGGAAGAGCAAGAAAAGGGAAAUGGAAAUCAAAUUAAGCAGAUGGAGAAGCAGAAACAAGACAAAGAGGAGAAAGAACAAGAACCAGAAGAACAAGAAGGUGCAGAAGAAAAACAUGAAAUGAAAGGAGGAAUAAAUAGCAUUGAAGAUGAGUUGAAAUAUAUAGACGAUGAAGAGGACUUGGAUGCAAUGGAAACUGAGAGAGAAAAGAAACAACAAGAAGAUGCACAUGAUCUGCUUUCUCAAGAUUCAGAGGAGCAGAAGCAGAUCAUUAGUACCGACACUGUUAAAUCAUUACCACAACAUCAUAUUGACUUAAAUGAAAUAGAAAUUCUAGGUGAGUACUCAGAAAAAGAGGACAUACACAUCAACCAUGGAUUAGAGAUCUGUGAGGAAACUGCUACAUCUUGGCAAGAAUCAUCUCAAAAGACUGAUAUUGAACUCAGUGGAAGUAUGCAAGCUAUGGAGAAUGAUUGGAACCUCAUUGACUUUAUUGAUAAAGAAGAGAAUGUGUGCUGUGAAAGUGUGAAACGGGAAUGGGAAACUAUUGAUGAUGUAAACAGUAUGCUGGAAAACAUGGAACGCCUGGCAAAAGACUCAGUGAACAGAGAUCUUGAAAACGUUGAAGACAAUACCUCAACAGAAUCGCAGAUAGAUGAUGAGAUGGAGCUGUACCUGAACAGUCUGAGGAAUUCACAACAGUCAGUAUUCAGAGAAGGCGCAAUGAGUGGAAGCUAUGGCAAAAGACCCUCCUUGAGCAGAGGAAGGCCAUUAGCUAUGCCUUCAAUCUCUGAGUCUAUGGACGAGGACCAGCCGAGUAGUUCCCUAGAGGAUUUAACAAAUAUUGAGUACAACAUGAAGCUGGAGAGAGCUACACUGCCCC